GAUAAUUUUUUAAUCCAUGUGCAAUGUUUCAAGUUCUACUCCAUGGGCACCGUUUCGGGGUAACACGACACCCAAGCCCUCAGUUCACUUCAGUUCCUACGCUUUCAGCUUCCCGAUUUCAUUUCCCCAGUUCCCAGUUCUAGGGUUUCGAUAACUGCAGUCCUCCAUGCUGCCGUGAGCCUAGUUCUCCGCCGGCCUUCUAACAACCCCCUUCCUCAAAUCGCCAUCGCCAUCGACUCAAAAAAUCAAUUCCUUGCCAAUGCUAGGAAUGGUAUGAGAUGGACAUGGGCAAGGUAAGGUAAGGUAGCAUUACAAUAUGUUCAUUGGAGGCCAUAUCUGCAAUCUCUAGAUCUCUUUGGGAGUUGGCUGUAUGCAGUACCUAGGUGGUGGUGAUCCCAAAACCAUAGAAAUAACUUUUAAUUGGCUUCAUUUGGUGAUCAGGAAAGAAAAAGCUUCUCAAGCAAUAAAGGAACAAAUGCAAAGCUGGGCAAACCUUUGGGUCUUUUGUUGUCUUUGGUGCGUGUCUUGUGUUUAUUUUUCUGUUGCGUCUCUAUUUUCAGAAAAAGCUGUUGGGGAUGCUUCAUUUGUCCUUCUGGUCUUUUGUUCUCCUUGUUCGUGGUUGAAGAAAGUGGCUUUUUAGUCAUUUAAUUAAAACACACAUACAGACUGCAAAGGAGUUCCAAAAUAGGGGACUGUAUACAGCACAACUCUUAAAUCUGUGGCAAAGCCAAGACUUCCUAACGAUCAUUACAUGAUCCCAUGAAUAUGCAUGUUAAGAUAAAGAAAGGUCCUGUUACAUUGGAAUUGAGUCCAGUGCAGCUGAUUACAUAUUUCUUGGAAGCUUUUGAAGUUAGAAAUUUGGUGCAAUUGGAGGGAUACUUUAAAGGAUCUUCCACUUUAUGGAAUCAUGUCCUUGAUAGUGUGAUGCACCAUGAUAUUGCCUUAUAAGGAGGAGGGAAAAAAAAAAAAACCCCACUUUUAUGUUAGAGAUCUUGCAAGGGGGUGGAUUAUAGAGCAAAUUGAUCGGAUGGUUACAAUUAUAUUACUAGGCUAUGUACAAGUUGGUCAGAGCAGCAAUACAGGUCUCUGCCUUAUGAUAAUACCAUAUAUAAGAGAUCUCAUCUAGUACCUAAAAGGUCAAUAUAUUGGCAUUUGGCAUCCUUAA